rnacentral:lncRNA from 14 species
CCGGGCAGCAGCAGGGGCAUGUGGAUACUGGCUCUCUCCUUGUUCCAGAGCUUCGCGAAUGUUUUCAGUGAAGAGCCCCACUCCAGCCUCUACUUUGUCAAUGCAUCGCUGCAAGAGGUAGUGUUUGCAAGCACGUCGGGGACCCUGGUGCCCUGCCCGGCUGCAGGCAUCCCUCCUGUGACUCUCAGAUGGUACCUAGCAACGGGCGAGGAGAUCUACGAUGUCCCUGGGAUCCGCCACGUCCAUCCCAAUGGCACUCUCCAAAUUUUCCCCUUUCCUCCUUCAAGCUUCAGCACCUUAAUCCAUGAUAAUACUUACUAUUGCACAGCUGAAAACCCUUCAGGGAAAAUUAGAAGUCAGGAUGUCCACAUCAAGGCUGUUUUACGGGAGCCCUAUACAGUCCGUGUGGAGGACCAGAAAACCAUGAGAGGCAAUGUCGCGGUGUUCAAGUGCAUUAUCCCCUCCUCGGUGGAGGCGUACGUCACUGUCGUCUCAUGGGAGAAAGACACGGUUUCACUUGUCUCAGGUAGGCUGAGCGCCACAACACAGGGCUGCUUGGAGGUAGGAAUGGGCCUCCCCUUCUGUGUGAUAUAAGGAAGGACACCUGGGGUGAUUUUAUCAAAGACUGAGCUUACCUUGGUUGACUCUAUAUUACAAAUACGUGUGGUGGCAUGCCUAUGGUGUGGUCACCAUACCUGACGGUGUAUAGUGGUCCCAUUCCACACUCAUUGAAGAGUUGACUGAUGAAGGGAUGUUAGUCACAUGUGACAUGGACAUAGCCACAACUUGUAUGGAAACUUGAGGUUUUAUUUCUGCAUUCAAAAGCAGGUAAGUUGAAUACUGUGUCCCUGGGGCACUUCAUUGAUGCACAGUGUGUGUUGAUGUUCAGGUGCACUGAUACUCUGGAACUGGGGUGUGGAAACAGUGUUGCUUUCUGUUCUGUGUUCUGUUGGUCCUUUCAAAUGUGGUAAGAGUAACAUCAUACCAUUUCGACUGAGAACCUAUGUUCUGAUCAGAAACACAUAUUGAAAUGAGAUAGCUUCUCAUCCUGUAUUGGGUGUCUAGAAAUUCCAGCCAGCUCAGUCUGUGAGAGAUCACAGUGUAUCCACCACCACCAGUAUUGAUGCUGGCUUUUUGCCCUGUGCUCUUGACCUGGAAAGGCCACCUGGGUAAAACGAUCAGGUUCCCUCUCUUGGGUUUCCUUCCAUGGUGACUUCUGCUGUUUUAAUAUUGUGUUUCUUUGGGGAAAUUUUCAUGGUGAGUUGUGAUGUUCAGGAAGCAGCUUGUACUUGGUGGUCUCCAUGAACUAGGGCAAGAGGCUGCAGAACUAUGCACGUAUGCACACAUGCAUUCUCAUGUGCAUACAUGCACAUAUGCACAUACAUAUACUUACAUAUACAUAUAACACACACAUGCACGCAUGCAUGCAUGCGCACAUGUGCGCGCACCCAAACACACACACGUGCGCGCGCGCACACACACACACACACACAC